CCAGAGGCCCAUCAAUAAUCAUCCAUAGAAGCACGAGGAGGGAGCAGGUGUGAGCCCCAGAGAAGUGUGGCUCUGGGCAGCUGGCCUGUCCCCAGUCUCUGCUUCUCUUACUGCAGGAAGAACGCGGUUGCCACAGUGAUGAUUCUCUUCGUUCCCAGCUCCCCAAGGACACAGCCCACCUACCACGACCCUGCUUGCUGGCUGCCAGGGUCUCUGCUUCCCUGCUCACCGCCCCCGUGAGGUCCUCCAGCUCCAG
rnacentral:lncRNA from 1 species